UCGAGUCAAUCAUCAUCAUGUAUAGUUAAUGAUCUUGAAAUGGAGUUACCGAGUUGUUGGUGUGGUUUGAAAGCGCCAUUAAAGAUCUCCCACACCCACAAAAAUCCUGGAAGGAAAUUUUAUGCUUGUCCGAAUUAUGGAACGGAAGAAACAAGAUGUCAAUUCUUCAUUUGGGCAGAUAUACUUCAAUCAGUAGUCGGCUUGAAAAAUAUGACGAGAGAGAAUGAAAUUCGGAAGAUGGAGGAUGCUUUAUUGUUGCGUGAGUAUGAAGCUCAAUAAGAAAAGGACAAACUAAUAGAGAGAGAGAAAAUGCUGAAGAAGCAAGAGGAUGAACUUCGAAGAAGGCUAGUAGAGAAUAGGGUUGUACGUAUAUUGUUGUGUCUAUAUUGGAUUGUAUCUCUUGUAAUAGUUUUUGGUUGGUUCUGAAUGUAGAUGUAUCAUGUUAAUUUUAAAUGUAAAUAGAAUGAUCGGAUCCCAACAUGUAUGAUAUAUUAUCUAUGAAGUCU